CCCUAGUAGCGGCGAGCGAGCGGGAAGAGCUCAAAUUUAUAAUCUGGCACCUUCGGUGUCCGAGUUGUAAUCUCUAGAAGUGUUUUCCGCGUUGGACCGCACACAAGUCUGUUGGAAUACAGCGGCAUAGUGGUGAAACCCCCGUAUAUGGUGCGGACGCCCAGCGCUUUGUGAUACACUUUCAAUGAGUCGAGUUGUUUGGGAAUGCAGCUCAAAUUGGGUGGUAAAUUCCAUCUAAAGCUAAAUAUUGGCGAGAGACCGAUAGCGAACAAGUACCGUGAGGGAAAGAUGAAAAGCACUUUGGAAAGAGAGUUAACAGUACGUGAAAUUGUUGGAAGGGAAACGCUUGAAGUCAGACUUGCUUGCCGGAGCUUGCUUCGGUUUGCAGGCCAGCAUCAGUUUUCCGGGGUGGAUAAUGACGGUUUGAAGGUAGCAGUCUCGGCUGUGUUAUAGCUUUCCGUUGGAUACAUCCUGGGGGACUGAGGAACGCAGCGUGCUUUUUGCGAAAGACUCGUCUUUUUCACGCUUAGGAUGCUGGUGGAAUGGCUUUAAACGACCCGUCUUG
rnacentral:rRNA from 1 species